GCUUACAGCCACACCACCUGAACACGCCCGAUCUCGUCUGAUCUCGGAAGCUAAGCAGGGCGGGCCUGGUUAGUACUUGGAUGGGAGACCGCCUGGGAAUACCAGGUGCUGUAAGUU
rnacentral:rRNA from 1 species